rnacentral:pre_miRNA from 1 species
CAAGUACUCCCUCCGUCCGGAAUUACUUGUCAUCAAAAUGGAUGUGUCUAGAUCUAAAAUACAUCUAGAUACAUCCAUUUCAAUGACAGGUAUUUUCGGAUGGAGGGAGUACAAG